UGCUUAAAUGGAUCAGAGUAUUUAGAAAUG
rnacentral:piRNA from 1 species